rnacentral:rRNA from 1 species
AAUCUUCCACAAUGGACGGAAGUCUGAUGGAGCAACGCCGCGUGAGCGAAGAAGGUCUUCGGAUCGUAAAGCUCUGUCCUUGGGGAAGAAGAUCGAAAGAUUUGACGGUACCCGAGGAGGAAGCCCCGGCUAACUACGUUCCAGCAGCCGCGGUAAUACGUAGGGGGCAAGCGUUGUCCGGAAUUAUUGGGCGUAAAGGGUGCGUAGGCGGCUUUUUAAGUCAGAUGUGAAAGACCACGGCUUAACCGUGGGGUUGCAUUUGAAACUGGAAGGCUUGAGUAUCGGAGAGGGUAGUGGAAUUCCCAGUGUAGCGGUGAAAUGCGUAGAUAUUGGGAGGAACACCAGUGGCGAAGGCGACUACCUGGACGAAAACUGACGCUGAUGCACGAAAGCUAGGGGAGCAAACAG